rnacentral:rRNA from 1 species
UCGCAUGAUGCAGUGUGAAAAACUCCGGUGGUAUAAGAUGGACCCGCGUUGGAUUAGCUAGUUGGUGAGGUAACGGCCCACCAAGGCGACGAUCCGUAGCCGACCUGAGAGGGUGACCGGCCACAUUGGGACUGAGACACGGCCCAAACUCCUACGGGAGGCAGCAGUGGGGAAUAUUGCACAAUGGGCGAAAGCCUGAUGCAGCGACGCCGCGUGAGCGAAGAAGUAUUUCGGUAUGUAAAGCUCUAUCAGCAGGGAAGAUAAUGACGGUACCUGACUAAGAAGCACCGGCUAAAUACGUGCCAGCAGCCGCGGUAAUACGUAUGGUGCAAGCGUUAUCCGGAUUUACUGGGUGUAAAGGGAGCGCAGGCGGUGCGGCAAGUCUGAUGUGAAAGCCCGGGGCUCAACCCCGGUACUGCAUUGGAAACUGUCGUACUAGAGUGUCGGAGGGGUAAGCGGAAUUCCUAGUGUAGCGGUGAAAUGCGUAGAUAUUAGGAGGAACACCAGUGGCGAAGGCGGCUUACUGGACGAUAACUGACGCUGAGGCUCGAAAGCGUGGGGAGCAAACAGGAUUAGAUACCCUGGUAGUCCACGCCGUAAACG